rnacentral:snRNA from 1 species
AUACUUAUCGAGCAGGUAGAUGCCAUGCUCAUGAAGGUGGUUUUCUCAUGUAAGCCUUAUCUCUUGUACUCCAGAUGUGUUGAGCAUUGUGAUUUCCUCAAAUUCAGGAAACUUGCCUGAGUAAUUUGUGAUAGUUGGGGGGGGGGUCAGUGUUAUAAGAAACAUCUGGAGCCAU